GUUUUGUAUUGUAAUGGUAUCAGACACAGUGCAGUGUUCAAGAGUUGUUGUUUGCAGGUCGACUACACGAAUGCAAUCGGCACUAUUGAUAGAAUCCAAAAAUGAUCCUUCCGCAGGUUCACCUACGGAAA
rnacentral:misc_RNA from 1 species